rnacentral:rRNA from 1 species
GAUUGAACGCUGGCGGCAUGCUUUACACAUGCAAGUCGAACGGCAGCGCGGGCUUCGGCCUGGCGGCGAGUGGCGAACGGGUGAGUAAUGCAUCGGAACGUGCCCAGUAGUGGGGGAUAGCCCGGCGAAAGCCGGAUUAAUACCGCAUACGACCUGAGGGUGAAAGCGGGGGACCGAAAGGCCUCGCGCUAUUGGAGCGGCCGAUGUCGGAUUAGCUAGUUGGUGGGGCAAAGGCUUACCAAGGCGACGAUCCGUAGCUGGUCUGAGAGGACGACCAGCCACACUGGGACUGAGACACGGCCCAGACUCCUACGGGAGGCAGCAGUGGGGAAUUUUGGACAAUGGGGGCAACCCUGAUCCAGCCAUGCCGCGUGCGGGAAGAAGGCCUUCGGGUUGUAAACCGCUUUUGUUCGGGAAGAAAUCCUCUGGGCUAAUACCCCGGGGGGAUGACGGUACCGGAAGAAUAAGCACCGGAUAACUACGUG